CGAGCCCUAGGCUUAGUGGUAGAGCGUUCGACUCAAAUACCAAAGGUCGUGGGUUCGAAUCCCAAGUGUGCAA
rfam:Schistocephalus solidus strain NST_G2 genome assembly, scaffold: SSLN_scaffold0022089